rnacentral:lncRNA from 1 species
UUAAUAGAAGGUGAACAGUCAAAUUGGAAAAUUAUUCCCACAUUAUACUUUAAUCAAUAUGGAUCAAAUUUUUUAAUAUUUCACAUGAAUCUGGAUAAUUUAAAAUCAAUAAAUAUCAAAAACAACAAAAUCCCUAAUUUUUACUUUGAAAUACUUAAAACCUGGGUAAAAUAUGGCGGUGGUCAAACUAAUAAACCAGAAAACUUUAGAACCAUUAGACAACAAAUUAUAUGGGGUAACAAAUACAUAAAGUUAAAUGGGCACAGUUUAGUUUUUAAUCAUUGGAUAAAAGACAACAUAAUCUAUGUAAAUGACAUAAUUGAUGACAGAGGAAGAAUAUCAAAAGAAAAAAUACUCAAUAAGUUAAAAUGUAAAAGAAAUUGGAUUGCAGAAAUAAUACAAAUAAGAAAGAGCAUACCAAAUCAUUGGAAAGAUAUAUUACAAAAACAAAACUCAUUAAAAACUAUUGUUAAUUGUAAAAAACAACUAUGUUUAAAACAAGGCGC